GCAAGACGGACAGAAGCGAAAGCAUUUGCCAAAAAUGUUUUCAUUAAUCAAGAACGAAAGUCAGAGGUUCGAAGGCGAUCAGAUACCGCCCUAGUUCUGACCAUAAACGAUGCCAGCUAGCGAUCCGCCGACGUUCCUCCGAUGACUCGGCGGGCAGCUUCCGGGAAACCAAAGCUUUUGGGUUCCGGGGGAAGUAUGGUUGCAAAGCUGAAACUUAAAGGAAUUGACGGAAGGGCACCACCAGGAGUGGAGCCUGCGGCUUAAUUUGACUCAACACGCGAAACCUCACCAGGCCCGGACACCGUAAGGAUUGACAGAUUGAGAGCUCUUUCUUGAUUCGGUGGGUGGUGGUGCAUGGCCGUUCAUAGUUGGUGGAGCGAUUUGUCUGGUUAAUUCCGUUAACGAGCGAGACGGGCGGCUCUUAGCCGCACGAGAUUGAGCAAUAACAGGUCUGGAAUGCCCUUAGAUGUUCUGGGCCGCACGCGCGCUACACUGAAGGAAUCAGCGUGUCCUGCCUGGCCGAGAAGCCCGGGUAACCCGCUGAACCUCCUUCGUGCUAGGGAUUGGGGCUUGCAAUUGUUCCCCAUGAACGAGGAUUUCCAGGUAAGCGCGAGUCAUAAGCUCGCGUUGACUAAGUCCCUGCACUUUGUACACACCGCCCGUCGCUACUACCGAUUGAAUGAWUCAAUGAGGUCUUCGGACCGGUAUGCUACGGCGUCCUCGCGGCGCCGCCGGUGUCGCCGGGAAGAUGACCGAACUAGAUGAUUA
rnacentral:rRNA from 1 species